ACCAGACUCCUACGGGAGGCAGCAGUGAGGAAUAUUGGUCAAUGGGCUUACGCCUGAACCAGCCAAGUCGCGUGAGGGAAGACUGCCCUAUGGGUUGUAAACCUCUUUUGUCAGGGAGCAAUUGGCGCUACGUGUAGCGUUAUCGAGAGUACCUGAAGAAAAAGCAUCGGCUAACUCCGUGCCAGCAGCCGCGGUAAUACGGAGGAUGCGAGCGUUAUCCGGAUUUAUUGGGUUUAAAGGGAGCGUAGAUGGGUUGUUAAGUCAGUUGUGAAAGUUUGCGGCUCAACCGUAAAAUUGCAAUUGAUACUGGCAGCCUUGAGUACAGUUGAGGUAGGCGGAAUUCGUGGUGUAGCGGUGAAAUGCUUAGAUAUCACGCAGAACGCCGAUUGCGAAGGCAGCUUACCGGCGCUCAACUGACGCUGAGGCACGAAAGUGCGGGUAUCGAACAGGAUUAGA
rnacentral:rRNA from 1 species